UACGUAGGGUGCAAGCGUUAAUCGGAAUUACUGGGCGUAAAGCGUGCGCAGGCGGUUUUGUAAGACCGAUGUGAAAUCCCCGGGCUUAACCUGGGAACUGCAUUGGUGACUGCAAGGCUAGAGUGUGUCAGAGGGAGGUGGAAUUCCGCGUGUAGCAGUGAAAUGCGUAGAGAUGCGGAGGAACACCGAUGGCGAAGGCAGCCUCCUGGGAUAACACUGACGCUCAUGCACGAAAGCGUGGGGAGCAAACAGG
rnacentral:rRNA from 1 species